rnacentral:rRNA from 1 species
AUUGAACGCUGGCGGCAGGCCUAACACAUGCAAGUCGAACGAGUGGCGGACGGGUGAGUAAUGUCCGGGAAACUGCCUGAUGGAGGGGGAUAACUACGGGAAACGGUAGCUAAUACCGCAUACCAUCGGAUGUGCCCAGAUGGGAUUAGCUAGUAGGUGGGGUAAAGGCUCACCUAGGCGACGAUCCGUAGCUGGUCUGAGAGGAUGACCGGCCACACGGGAACUGAGACACGGUCCAGAGGCCUACGGGAGGCAGCAGUGGGGAAUAUUGAACAAUGGGCGCAAGCCUGAUACAGCCAUGCCGCGUGUAUGAGGAAGGCCUUCGGGUUGUAAAGUACUUUAAGCGGGGAGGCGUUACCCGCAGAAGAAGCGCCGGCUAACUCCGUGCCAGCAGCCGCGGUAAUUC